UACGGGGGGGGCAAGCGUUGUUCGGAAUUACUGGGCGUAAAGGGCUCGUAGGCGGCCAACUAAGUCGGACGUGAAAUCCCCAGGCUCAACCUGGGAACUGCGUCCGAUACUGGAUGGCUUGAAUUCGGGAGAGGGAUGCAGAAUUCCAGGUGUAGCGGUGAAAUGCGUAGAUAUCUGGAGGAAUACCGGUGGCGAAGGCGGCAUCCUGGACCAGCACUGACACUGAGGCACGAAAGCGUGGGGAGCAAACAGG
rnacentral:rRNA from 1 species